GGAGUUAGCCGGUGCUUCUUCUGCGAGUAACGUCACAGAUGUAAGGUAUUAACUUACACCCUUUCCUCCUCGCUGAAAGUGCUUUACAACCCGAAGGCCUUCUUCACACACGCGGCAUGGCUGCAUCAGGGUUUCCCCCAUUGUGCAAUAUUCCCCACUGCUGCCUCCCGUAGGAGUCUGGGCCGUGUCUCAGUCCCAGUGUGGCUGAUCAUCCUCUCAGACCAGCUAGGGAUCGUCGCCUAGGUGAGCCUUUACCUCACCUACUAGCUAAUCCCACCUGGGCUUAUCCAUCAGCGCAAGGCCCGAAGGUCCCCUGCUUUCCCCCGUAGGGCGUAUGCGGUAUUAGCAGUCGUUUCCAACUGUUAUCCCCCACAAAUGGGCAAAUUCCCAGGCAUUACUCACCCGUCCGCCGCUCGUCAUCUUCAAAAGCAAGCUUUUGAAAUGUUACCGCUCGACUUGCAUGUGUUAGGCCUGCCGCCAGCGUUCAAUCUGAGCCCAGUAGUACUAACCUAAACCUUCGUACGUACGUAGGACGGGCCGGGUCGGUCGGACGGAACGGGCCGACUAAGU
rnacentral:rRNA from 1 species